CGGCCGCGGUAUUUUGACCGUGCGAAGGUAGCGUAAUCACUUGUCUUCUAAAUAAAGACCAGUAUGAACGGCGCCACGAGAACUAAACUGUCUCCCCCCUUUAAUCAGUGAAACUGAUCUCCCCGUGCAGAAGCGGGGAUAAACACAUAAGACGAGAAGACCCUGUGGAACUUUAAAUUUAUUGUCACUUAAUUCCCUAUUAACCUUAACAAAAACACAAAACUUGAUUUAAAUUUUCAGCUGGGGCGUCUGUGGAGAAAAAAUCACCCUCCACGAAGAAUUAAAUCUGAGAACUACUACUCUAAGAAUUAACACCCUUAACUCUACUUGACCCAAUUUUAUUGAUCAACGGACCAAGUUACCCCAGGGAUAACAGCGCAAUCCACUUCUAGAGUCCAUAUCGACAAGUGGGCUUACGACCUCGAUGUUGGAUCAGGGCAUCCUAGUGGUGCAGCCGCUACUAAAGGUUCGUUUGUUCAACGAUUAAAGCCCUACGUGA
rnacentral:rRNA from 2 species